rnacentral:lncRNA from 1 species
CAAUAGCCCAUGAUUCACAGCAUUUCUCCAUGGGGAUCUGUCCCUGAAAGUGACGAAGGGGCUGGAUCUGAGGUAAUAACAAAAAAGUUCAGUGACCAAGAGAACAGCACAGAUAUAGGUCUGAGUGGGAGUGGUGAAGGUGUGGGCAUUACUCAUAGUGGUUGUGGAUAAAUUAAUGAUAUUUCCAUGGAAUUUUUCACUAUGACUGUGUUUGCAAAGUUUCCCCCUCAUUCAAAGAUACUACAGUAAUUUCAUUUUUUUUUUUUACAUUCACAACAAGACACUAAAGACAAUGUUUGGACUUCAAUUCCUUUUCAAAAUUUUAGUAGCACAGGCAGAUCUCAUCAUUACAUAAUUAUAGACUUCUCAAGUACAAGAUUCUUUGAUAUGCCUGUGGGCAAUUUGUACUCAGAACUUGCCAUUUUGCAGUAGAAUUGAGAAGAUAUUACACAGUGGAGGAACUGAAUCAUUGUUUUACUGGAUGCCAAAAUGGUUACAUUAACUAUAUGAUUUAGAUGGUUAGUUUGUUUUGAUUCACAAAGAGGGAAAAAAGCUGAGGUGGAU